GUUAAUCAGUUACAAAAUUUCCMUCACAUCCAUCCAUCCUCUCCGUUUUAGCACCAUUCUUGUUUGUUGUUGAUUUACCCCUGGAUCUCAUUUUGUCCUCUCUGCAGGCCGUCACAUUGUUCUUCUACCUGCUGGCCUUCCUGGUUAUCCUCCAGAGGAUCUGGGCUUACGUCGGCUGUUUCAUUUGCACAUAACCACAGCAGGAGAGCCCUCGUCUUCUGUCACACAGCUCAGCUCUUUCUGCUCAAGAUGGAGAAACCUGAAGUUCARCUCUGGGUGGUUCUCCUUCCUCUCGUCCUCCUCUGCCAGCAGAGCAGCUCCUGGCAGACCCAGACCCAGGUUCUGCUUGUCUUGGCUGAGCCCACUCUACCUGGACAAGACAAAGAGAGGAAUGCAGAGGUUUAAAAAAAAAUGCUUCUGAGACAAAAAUACARUAUUUUUUCGUUUCAGCAGGUGAAAUCCUCUCAGCUGACCUGCAAGGUUUGUAGAAACUAUAGCACUAAGACUCUGCUUUUAUUGUGAAAAUGCCUGUCACAUUAGUUCAAGACUUCACAUUCUUUGAAGGAAUGCCUAUGAUCCAUCACCUAUAAGUCAGAGGUUUAGACUAAGAUCAUGUUAUGUUGGGACAUGAUGUUUUUGUGUUGGUCAAACCUAAAUGAUCACAUGCAGCAUUGUGAGACUGUGAAUUAUUCUCAACUAACUUUGAAUUUUAGCUCAUCUGUAAAACCUCCUGUGUUGCAGCCAUUUGUGAGUUUUUUUUCUAAGUUUGUUGACUGUGGUGUCCAUCUUUCAAAAGGAUUCAUAUGAUUUUAUUGUCAGCUCACUGUAUGCACAGGACAUGUUGGAGAACUAAAAUGUCUUUUCUGUCUCCUUCGUAAGAAACAAUAAAAUAUGAUCAAACAACUGUGCCAUAACGUAUCUAACUAUACACAAAAUGUUUGUAACUAUCCCUAAGAAAUAAAAAAUAUACAACAUACUACAAUAA